rnacentral:rRNA from 1 species
AGCGAACGCUGGCGGCAGGCCUAACACAUGCAAGUCGAACGAAGUCUUCGGACUUAGUGGCGGACGGGUGAGUAACACGUGGGAACGUGCCUUUCGGUUCGGAAUAACUCAGGGUAACUUGUGCUAAUACCGAAUGUGCCCUUCGGGGGAAGGAUUUAUCGCCUUUAGAGCGGCCCGCGUCUGAUUAGCUAGUUGGUGAGGUAAAGGCUCACCAAGGCGACGAUCAGUAGCUGGUCUGAGAGGAUGAUCAGCCACAUUGGGACUGAGACACGGCCCAAUCUACUACGAGAGGCAGCAGUGGGGAAUCUUGCGCAAUGGGCGAGAGCCUGACGCAGCCAUGCCGCGUGAAUGAUGAAGGUCUUAGGAUUGUAAAAUUCUUUCACCGGGGACGAUAAUGACGGUACCCGGAGAAGAAGCCCCGGCUAACUUCGUGCCAGCCGCCGCGGUAAGAC